CCUCCAGCUUCUCCUUCUUGACUCCCACCUCCAGCAUUCACAAGGAUUCCUUCUACAUGGAAUUUGCCUUCUAGAAAGUGCUUUGGGUUCUCAUCUUGAUACCUCAGCUGGUGACAGCAAGAGAGCUGACGGAAAUGUGGGACUGGCGUUUCAGGAGGCCCAGACGCCCUGGCAUUAGAAGCUGUGAUCUUCACUUCUAGGUCCCACCUCAGGGCUGCUCAGACAGGGGCCUGGCCACGUCAGCAGAGCCUCCAGGGACAGUAACUGGCAAACAGCGGGAAUCCACCAACCAUACCUUCUCUGAUGGGGAAGGCUGUUAAAUCGGACACCAAAGCUGCAUCUGUAACACGCAGGAGCUCCCUUCCCAAGUACCUGUUCAAGUUCACAGUUUGCUAGUGUUUUCAGUGGAAUUCCCAAUUCCUGUGGCUUUAUCCUUCUCAGCUGAGAAUACAGCGCUGGCUGGCACAGAGCCCAGAAUCUGGAGCCCCAAAGAGGAAGAAUUAAGAGGAAGGGGUGUGCUCAGAAGAGCAGGCACAGCCUUGAGAAGCUGGUGGCCAUGUGGUGACACAGGGGAGGAGAAGGAAGGUGUCAGCAGGCAGACGGAGCAAUUAUUAGAGGAGGGGAAAAAGGAGUGAAGGUCUUUGAAGUAACGGUUCUUCGGGGAAUGUAACAAGUACUCUCCUCUAAAUUAACUUUCUCCAUCCUCAGUCCAGCAAUCCAGAUGACGACCAGUCCUCAAAGCCACACUAACUCUUUUAUUUGGGUUUUCCUAUAUAAAUCCUCAGGGAGUUCUUGGAUAUGCAUUAUGGCACAUUUUAAUCUAAGUGCUGCAUUUUAAUUGACCCACUGAAAGAUAACGUUAGAACUCAAAUGUACUUUUAGAAUUUCUUAACCACCAGGAUGAUAAUUAACUAUCAAAAUGUGUUUAGAGCCUGAAUCACAAAUCGGAACAGAACAAGAAUUAACUUAGCCAAGUACCUCACUGAGAUUUCCUAGCUCUGCAGUAAAUUCAGUGAAAACUUUUCUUUUUUCCAAAAUGGAAACAAAUUUGUUACUUUGUCUAAUAUGUUUAAAAUUCUUUCCAAACAGAAAGAAUAUCAAAUAUGAACAUCAUCCAUGAUCCCCCCCACCACAGUGGAAGUUUCUCCUGCUAAUAUUUUGGUAUAUACCCUUCUAAACUUUUGUAAGCAUAUAUGUACAUAUGAACUCUUUAAAAAUUAAGAUUAUGUUACACAUAUAGUUGAUAACUCAGUAAUAUACUAUUAAGACUAAACUAUGUCAAUAAAUAUUAUUUUCUAAGGUAA